UGGGGAAUAUUGGACAAUGGGCGAAAGCCUGAUCCAGCCAUGCCGCGUGUGUGAAGAAGGUCUUCGGAUUGUAAAGCACUUUAAGUUGGGAGGAAGGGCAUUAACCUAAUACGUUAGUGUUUUGACGUUACCGACAGAAUAAGCACCGGCUAACUCUGUGCCAGCAGCCGCGGUAAUACAGAGGGUGCAAGCGUUAAUAGGAAUUACUGGGCGUAAAGCGCGCGUAGGUGGUUUGUUAAGUUGGAUAUGAAAUCCCCGGGCUCAACCUGGGAACUGCAUUCAAAACUGACUGACUAGAGUAUGGUAGAGGGUGGUGGAAUUUCCUGUGUAGCGGUGAAAUGCGUAGAUAUAGGAAGGAACACCAGUGGCGAAGGCGACCACCUGGACUAAUACUGACACUGAGGUGCGAAAGCGUGGGGAGCAAACA
rnacentral:rRNA from 1 species